CCUACGGUGUGCAGCAGUGGGGAAUAUUGCACAAUGGGGGAAACCCUGAUGCAGCGACGCCGCGUGAGUGAAGAAGUAUUUCGGUAUGUAACGCUCUAUCAGCAGGGAAGAACAUGACGGUACCUGAUUAAGCAGCCCCGGCUAACUACGUGCCAGCAGCCGAGGUAAUACGUAGGGGGCAAGCGUUAUCCGGAUUUCCUGGGUGGAAAGGGAGCGUCGACGGCAGCACAAGGCUGGAGUGAAAUGCCGGGCCUUAACCCCGGAACUGCUUUGGAAACUGUGCAGCUAGAGUGCAGGAGAGGUAAGUGGAAUGCCUAGUGUAGCGGUGAAGUGCGUAGAUAUUAGGAGGAACACCAGUGGCGAAGGCGGCUUACUGGACGGUAACUGACGUUGAGGCUCGAAAGCGUGGGGAGCAAACAGGAUUAGAGACCCGUGUAGUC
rnacentral:rRNA from 1 species